AACAGACGGAAAUUCUGGCAUGUUCUCCCAUCCACACAUUUCCGUCCAAAAUAUCAAACCUCAAGGAAGCUAAUGGUGAAAGUAAAGUUAUAACUAAAAUUGAUAGUAAAAACGAACAUUGUUUGAUUACUCUAAAUUUAUGGAUUUUGACAGGAACAUGAAUUGUAUUCCACACCCACCGGAAUACUCGUUGUGAAAAAAAUUUUUGGUGGCAUCUAUCAGUUUUGCAGUGUUAAAAUUCUACAACACAAAUUGAAUGUUACACCACCAUCUGAUAACACUAUGCGAUUAAUUAAGAAGUUCUUUAUCUUCAUCUUCAUCUUCACUAUCCUCUGCAUGUUCUCCUUCUUUGUGGCCUUUUGCGUCUUCUUCACCUUCCAUCUCAUCAUCACUUCAGUGCCUCCUCCCCAUGACUCUCGCUUCAGUGCCUCCUCCCAUUCAUUUUGUUCACUUCCAAGAAACCUCCAAAGUUUUUUUUUUUUGGUUUGGGGCAGGGGUGAGGGAUGACUAUGGUAGAGAUUUUUUUCUCAAUAUUUACGGUUAAGAUGUUACCAUAGAGCAAUAAGAGGAUUUCGUAGGGAAAGAACAAUUUCCCAACCCUGGUCGUUGUAGGGCUGCCACUAUAGGAUUGCCACCAAUGCUAUGCUUUCAAUUUUGAAACCUGCAAAACACCCUAAUCCAGAUCGAAAGGGGUCGUUACCAUUGAGAAAUCCCAAUAACGAUUCCUUUGUCUUUGUCCACCAAUUGUGAUUCAAUCUCCACUAUCUUCACAACCUGAAACAUAAAUGUUGUUGCUGCUUCAACGUAGAAAUCCAUCAUCAUCU
rnacentral:lncRNA from 1 species